UACGUAGGGUGCGAGCGUUGUCCGGAUUUAUUGGGCGUAAAGAGCUCGUAGGCGGUUUGUCGCGUCGACUGUGAAAACCUACAGCUUAACUGUGGGCUUGCAGUCGAUAUGGGCAGACUUGAGUUCGGUAGGGGAGACUGGAAUUCCUGGUGUAGCGGUGAAAUGCGCAGAUAUCAGGAGGAACACCGGUGGCGAAGGCGGGUCUCUGGGCCGAUACUGACGCUGAGGAGCGAAAGCGUGGGGAGCGAACAGG
rnacentral:rRNA from 1 species